UACGGAGGGUGCAAGCGUUAUCCGGAUUCACUGGGUUUAAAGGGUGCGUAGGCGGGCAGGUAAGUCAGUGGUGAAAUCCCCGAGCUUAACUUGGGAACUGCCGUUGAUACUAUCUGUCUUGAAUACCGUGGAGGUGAGCGGAAUAUGUCAUGUAGCGGUGAAAUGCUUAGAUAUGACAUAGAACACCAAUUGCGAAGGCAGCUCGCUACACGAAUAUUGACGCUGAGGCACGAAAGCGUGGGGAUCAAACAGG
rnacentral:rRNA from 1 species